UACGUAGGGUGCAAGCGUUAAUCGGAAUGACUGGGCGUAAAGGGUGCGCAGGCGGUCUGUAAAGACAGAGGUGAAAUCCCCGGGCUUAACCUGGGAAUGGCCUAUGUGACUGGCAGGCUAGAGGAUGGCAGAGGGAGGCGGAAUUCCACGUGUAGCAGUGAAAUGCGUAGAGAUGUGGAGGAACACCGAUGGCGUAGGCAGCCUCCUGGGCCAAUUCUGACGCUCAGGCACGAAAGCGUGGGGAUCAAACAGG
rnacentral:rRNA from 1 species